AUCCAGCUAACGUCCCAAAUAGGACGAAAUGCGCAUCCUGGAU
rnacentral:hammerhead_ribozyme from 1 species